UUGAAAUCCUUUGGAUGCUGCUGGCCUUUUUUUCAGGGGCAUGUGCACUCCGCCUUUUCAUCUCACCUGUGAACUCAUUGUAGGCCAGAUUUUUUGCAAAUCUGUGUCUAUGUUAUUUUUAUACACACACAAGUAUUAUCAGAAUGUCUCUCGAGACCUUCAGUGGUCAAAAACUUAAUA
rnacentral:misc_RNA from 1 species